rnacentral:rRNA from 1 species
AGAGUUUGAUUCUGGCUCAGGACGAACGCUGGCGGCGUGCUUAACACAUGCAAGUCGAACGAUGAAGCCUAGCUUGCUAGGUGGAUUAGUGGCGAACGGGUGAGUAAUACGUGAGUAACCUACCUUUAACUCUGGGAUAAGCCUGGGAAACUGGGUCUAAUACCGGAUACGACCAAUCUCCGCAUGGGGUGUUGGUGGAAAGCGUUAUGUAGUGGUUAUAGAUGGGCUCACGGCCUAUCAGCUUGUUGGUGAGGUAACGGCUCACCAAGGCGACGACGGGUAGCCGGCCUGAGAGGGUGACCGGCCACACUGGGACUGAGACACGGCCCAGACUCCUACGGGAGGCAGCAGUGGGGAAUAUUGCACAAUGGGCGCAAGCCUGAUGCAGCGACGCCGCGUGAGGGAUGACGGCCUUCGGGUUGUAAACCUCUGUUAGCAGGGAAGAAGAGAGAUUGACGGUACCUGCAGAGAAAGCGCCGGCUAACUACGUGCCAGCAGCCGCGGUAAUACGUAGGGCGCGAGCGUUGUCCGGAAUUAUUGGGCGUAAAGAGCUUGUAGGCGGUUUGUCGCGUCUGCUGUGAAAGGCCGGAGCUUAACUCCGUGUAUUGCAGUGGGUACGGGCAGACUAGAGUGCAGUAGGGGAGACUGGAAUUCCUGGUGUAGCGGUGGAAUGCGCAGAUAUCAGGAGGAACACCGAUGGCGAAGGCAGGUCUCUGGGCUGUAACUGACGCUGAGAAGCGAAAGCAUGGGGAGCGAACAGGAUUAGAUACCCUGGUAGUCCAUGCCGUAAACGUUGGGCACUAGGUGUGGGGAACAUUCCACGUUUUCCGCGCCGUAGCUAACGCAUUAAGUGCCCCGCCUGGGGAGUACGGCCGCAAGGCUAAAACUCAAAGGAAUUGAC